GGAUAACUGUGGUAAUUCUAGAGCUAAUACAUGCACCAAAGCUCUGAUUAAUGACGAGCGCAUCUAUUAGACUAAAAACCAAUCGGGCCGUUUACCCGGCUCGUGUUUUGGUGACUCUGAAUAGCUACCGCUGAUCGCAUGGUCAUGUACCGGCGACAUGUCUAUCAAGUGUCUGCCUUAUCAACUUUCGAUGGUAGUUUAUGUGCCUACCAUGGUUGUUACGGGUAACGGAGAAUAAGGGUUCGACUCCGGAGAGGGAGCCUGAGAAACGGCUACCACAUCCAAGGAAGGCAGCAGGCGCGCAAAUUACCCACUCUCGGCAUGAGGAGGUAGUGACGAAAAAUAACGAGACCGUUCUCAAUGAGGCCGGUUAUCGGAAUGGGUACAAUUUAAACCCGUUAACGAGGAUCUAUGAGAGGGCAAGUCUGGUGCCAGCAGCCGCGGUAAUUCCAGCUCUCAAAGUGUAUAUCGUCAUUGCUGCGGUUAAAAAGCUCGUAGUUGGAUCUGCGCUUGAAGACUUGGUCCACCAUUUUGGUGCUGAACUGAGCUCUUCGGCUACAAUUGUGCUGGUUUUCCUUACGUUGCCUUUACCGGUCGCGUAGGGUGGCUAGCGAGUUUACUUUGAAAAAAUUAGAGUGCUUAAAGCGGGCUUUUAUUGCCUGAAUAUUUGUGCAUGGAAUAAUAGAAUAGGAUCUCGGCUCUAUUUUGUUGGUUUUCUGAUCUGAGAUAAUGGUUAAGAGGGACAGACGGGGGCAUUCGUAUCGCUGCGUGAGAGGUGAAAUUCUUGGACCGUAGCGAGACGCCCUACUGCGAAAGCAUUUGCCAAGAAUGUCUUCAUUAAUCAAGAACGAAAGUCA
rnacentral:rRNA from 1 species